UACAGAGGGUGCGAGCGUUGUCCGGAAUCACUGGGCGUAAAGGGCGCGUAGGCGGCUUGAUAAGGUUGCGGUGAAAGCCCGGGGCUCAACCCCGGGUCGGCCGUGGCAACUGUCGAGCUGGAGCACUGUAGAGGCAGGCGGAAUUCCGGGUGUAGCGGUGGAAUGCGUAGAGAUCCGGAAGAACACCGGUGGCGAAGGCGGCCUGCUGGGACGGUACUGACGCUGAGGCGCGAAAGCGUGGGGAGCGAACAGG
rnacentral:rRNA from 1 species